rnacentral:rRNA from 1 species
GAAUUGCAGAAUUCCGCGAAUCAUCGAGUCUUUGAACGCAAGUUGCGCCCGAGGCUUGCCCUCGGGCAUUUCUGUCAGAGCGUCACC